rnacentral:rRNA from 1 species
UACAGAGGGGGCAAGCGUUGUUCGGAAUCACUGGGCGUAAAGCGCACGUAGGCGGAUUGCUAAGUCAGAGGUGAAAUCCUGGAGCUCAACUCCAGAACUGCCUUUGAUACUGGCGAUCUCGAGUCCGGGAGAGGUGAGUGGAACUGCGAGUGUAGAGGUGAAAUUCGUAGAUAUUCGCAAGAACACCAGUGGCGAAGGCGGCUCACUGGCCCGGUACUGACGCUGAGGUGCGAAAGCGUGGGGAGCAAACAGG